CCAGGGGCUUGCGCCCCUGGCUAUUGUCUAGCGCCCUUUCAGGGCU
rnacentral:sRNA from 1 species